rnacentral:rRNA from 1 species
UCAGGAUGAACGCUGGCGGCGUGCUUAACACAUGCAAGUCGAACGAUUAAAGCCCUCUCGGAGGGUGUAUAGAGUGGCGAACGGGUGAGUAACACGUGGGCAAUCUGCCCUCCACUUCGGGAUAACCCUUGGAAACGAGAGCUAAUACCGAAUACUCCGUCUAGGUCGCAUGGCCUGGUCGGGAAAGCUCCGGCGGUGGAGGAUGAGCCCGCGGUCCAUUAGCUAGUUGGUGAGGUAACGGCCCACCAAGGCUACGAUGGAUAGCCGAGCUGAGAGGCUGAUCGGCCACACUGGGACUGAGACACGGCCCAGACUCCUACGGGAGGCAGCAGUGGGGAAUUUUGCGCAAUGGGCGAAAGCCUGAACCGCAGCAACGCCGCGUGCGGGACGAAGGCCUUCGGGUUGUAAACCGCUUUCAGCAGGGACGAAACUGACUGUACCUGCAGAAGAAGCUCCGGCUAACUACGUGCCAGCCGCCGC